rnacentral:rRNA from 1 species
UAUGAAGGGUGCAAGCGUUACUCGGAAUUACUGGGCGUAAAGCGUGCGUAGGCGGUUUGUUAAGUCUGUCGUGAAAGCCCCGGGCUCAACCUGGGAAUGGCGAUGGAUACUGGCGAGCUAGAGUACGGUAGAGGAGAGUGGAAUUCCCGGUGUAGCGGUGAAAUGCGUAGAGAUCGGGAGGAACACCAGAGGCGAAAGCGGCGACCUGGAUAGGUACUGACGCUAGAUCACGAAAGCGUGGGGAGCAAACAGG